GGUUAAGUUAUAAAGGGCGCAUGGUGAAUGCCUUGGUACUAGGAGCCGAUGAAGGACGGGACUAACACCGAUAUGCUUCGGGGAGCUGUACGUAAGCUUUGAUCCGGAGAUUUCCGAAUGAGGAAACUCAAUAGCUUUAAUCAGCUAUUACUAACUAACGAAUACAUACUUAGUUAGUGGCAGACGUGGGGAACUGAAACAUCUAAGUACCCACAGGAACAGAAAGAAAAAUCGAUUCCCUGAGUAGCGGCGAGCGAAACGGGAAUAGCCCAAACCAAAGAGCUUGCUCUUUGGGGUUGUAGGACUGAACAUUUGAGUUACCAAAGUAUUUGAUAGUCGAAAGAUUUGGGAAAAUCUGCGAAA
rnacentral:ncRNA from 1 species